GUGCUCACUUCGGCAGCACGUAUACUAAAAUUAGAACAGUACAGAGAAGAUUGGUGUGGCCUCUGUGUAAGGAGGCAUGCAAAUUCGUGAAGCGUUCCAUAUUUUU